rfam:TPA: Bos taurus chromosome 22, whole genome shotgun sequence.
UCCCUGACAGUCCAUUGGUUAAGACUCUGCGCUCCCAAUGCAGGGGGCACGGGUUUGAUCCCUGGUCAGGGAA